ACACACACACAGUGUAUAUAAUAUAAUAUUCCCCAUACACCCCCUGUCCAGGUAGAUAUAGUACAGACACACACAGUGUAUAUAAUAUAAUAUUCCCCAUACACCCCCUGUCCAGGUAGAUAUAGUACAGACACACACAGUGUACAUAAUAUAAUAUUCCCCAUACACCCCCUGCCCAGGUAGAUAUAGUACAGACACACACACAGUGUAUAUAAUAUAAUAUUCCCCAUACACCCCCUGUCCAGGUAGAUAUAGUACAGACACACACAGUGUAUAUAAUAUAAUAUUCCUCAUACACCCCCUGUCCAGGUAGAUAUAGUACAGACACACACACAGUGUAUAUAAUAUAAUAUUCCCCAUACACCCCCUGUCCAGGUAGAUAUAGUACAGACACACACAGUGUAUAUAAUAUAAUAUUCCCCAUACACCCCCUGUCCAGGUAGAUAUAGUACAGACACACACAAUAUAAUAUAAUGUGAUAUAUUGUGAUAGAGGUUUAUUACCUGGCUGAGGCUCACUGAAUCCCCCAGGCUAAGCAGGAAAUACAGGCACACAGUAACUGUUACAGCAGCCAUGUUGCUGCC